AAUCCGUGGUGAGGGCACUUGUUUGUGUAGCUCCUGAAUCGUUCCCAUGCUUCACUGAAACUCUCGUUUCCCCUUUGAGAAAAGCUCGAUAUAUCGUUUCUGAGCUU
rfam:Arabidopsis lyrata subsp. lyrata unplaced genomic scaffold ARALYscaffold_3, whole genome shotgun sequence.